rnacentral:lncRNA from 1 species
CAUACAUACUGAUAUAUAACAUCCCGCCCACAAAACAAAAAUUUACUAAAUUUUUACAAUGGUCAAUAUGUUUAUGUGUUAAAAAAAUACAAUAAAUAAUCGCUUCCAAAACUGAAAGUUUACAUGAAUAAAGUUAAUCUCUCGACACUCUAGUAACCAUUUUAAAACAAACGUAUCAACGCUGUAAAACCGAAAGUCUGGCAUCUCGGACUCCUCCCUCGGAUGACCUUAUGCACGCAUUACUUUCACACAAACAUUAACAGUGAUACACAAAUAUUAAUGGCGUUUCCUACUAGACAAACUGAUAUCAUUAUAAAUAGCUGAAUACAAAUUUGAUAGAAU